UUUAGAGUUUAUUUUUCAGAUCUUGGUUCGGGAGAACGUACGGGUCUGAAAAGAAAGCAGCUUAGCCCGCAGCCAUCUUCAAAUGGGCAUUCUCCACAAGAUGAAUCAUUGAGUCCAAUAAAAAAGAAGAAAAAACCUGGUUUAGCCAAUUCGAGUAAAGAGCAGUUGACACUUAGACGUGGUCCCUUUGCUUCUAUGAAGCAGCCAUUCACCAAAGACCUUCUUCAUGUUGUACCACAGGAUGGUCGAAAUGACUUCUAUUGCUGGGUGUGCCACCGGGAGGGCCAGGUUCUGUGCUGCGAACUCUGUCCUCGUGUCUACCAUGCAAAGUGUUUAAAACUGAACGCUGAACCGGAAGGGGACUGGUUCUGUCCAGAAUGUGAGAAAAUCACGGUCGCUGAAUGUAUUGAGACUCAAAGUAAAGCUAUGACUAUGCUCACUAUAGAUCAGUUGUCUUACCUGCUGAAAUUUGCACUACAGAAGAUGAAGCAGCCAGGAACUGAACCCUUCCAAAAGCCGGUUUCAUUAGAACAACAUCCUGAUUAUGCUGAAUAUAUCUUUCAUCCAAUGGACAUCUGCACAUUAGAAAAGAAUGUCAAGAAGAAGAUGUACGGUUGCACUGAGGCUUUCCUAGCUGAUGUCAAAUGGAUAUUGCAUAACUGCAUCAUAUAUAAUGGUGAUUUCUGUGUUGCAGCCAAUCAUAAAUUAACAGCAACAGCUAAAGUGAUCAUUAAGAUCUGCGAGCAUGAAAUGAAUGAAAUUGAAGUUUGUCCAGAAUGCUAUUUGGCUGCAUGCCAGAAGAGGGACAAUUGGUUCUGUGAGCCUUGUAGUAAUCCCCACCCACUUGUCUGGGCAAAGCUUAAAGGCUUUCCCUUCUGGCCUGCAAAAGCACUGCGGGACAAGGAAGGACAGGUUGACGCGCGAUUCUUUGGGCAGCAUGACAGGGCUUGGGUUCCAAUAAAUAACUGCUACCUCAUGUCCAGAGAAAUACCCUUUUCUGUGAAAAAGACGAAAAGCAUCUUCAAUAGUGCAAUGCAAGAAAUGGAGGUAUAUGUGGAGAACAUUCGUAAAAAGUUUGGAACAUUCAAUUAUGCACCUUUUCGGUCACCAUACACUCCCAACAACCAAUUCCAGAUGCUGAAAGAUCCCCAGAACCCAGCCGCAGGAACUGCUAAGCCUGAUAAAUAUGAGAAAAUCAAACUAAACUUUGAUAUGACUGCCUCGCCAAAAAUAGUUCUCAGCAAGUCUCUGUUAAUCGGUGGUCCCAGUCAGAGAAUUUCACUAAUGGACACGCCUCGUUCACCAAUGAGCACCAAUUCUUCAGUGCACACUGGUUCUGACCUAGAAACUGAUCCUACAGAGAAGAGCAUGAAAGCUACUUCCAGUCACUUUAGUGCAAGCGAGGAGUCGAUGGACUUCAUUGACCGGAGCACAGCUUCUCCUGGAUCUAUGAAGACAAGUCAAGCUGGCAGUGUGUCGGGCAGCCCAAAACCCUUCUCUCCUCAGUCCUCCACUCCCAUUGCUGCUAAAUCAGAAAGGACUCUGAAAACCCCUCCUACGGGCAGCAUCCUUAAUCUAAACCUUGAUCGCAGUAAAGCAGAGAUGGAUCUGAAAGAGCUGAGUGAAUCUGUGGUGCAAUCGGCUCCUGUGCUCCUCACUUCACCCAAAAAACACCCAGUCCGGAGCAGUUUCCUGCUUAAUCUAGACAAGACAAUAGAAAGUUGUAAAGCACAGUUAGGGAUAAAUGAAAUUUCUGAAGAUGUUGAUGCGGGUGCUGAACACAGCGACUCCGAAGAUUCAGAAAAAUCGGACACUUCUGACAGUGAAUAUGCCAGUGAUGAAGGUCCAAAGCUAAACAAUGGACAAGAAGAGAGAGAGGAAAAGGAUGGUACCAGGAGUGAAAAGGAAUCUCCCUUUGUGAAAAAGAAGCCUAAACAUUUAGUAGUUCAUGGGGAAGUGAAGCAGGAGACCAGUCCAAGUUCUCUUGUGGCCAAAAAUGAGGCUCUGGGGAAGGAAAAGGCAAAUGGGGAUUCAGACAAAGAGCACAUUGAGAAAAUUAAAAAUCUACAUCAAGGAACAAAGGAGAAACUGGGAAAUAAAGAUGAGACUGAUUCUCCAACAGUGCAUUUGGGACUGGAUUCUGAUUCUGACAAUGAACUAGUUAUCGAUUUAGGAGAUGAAAGCAAAGAAGCUGUACGAGAAGGCAAGAAAGGUGAGAAGAGCAAAAAGGAGUCAACACCAACAAUGAAAGAAUCGCCAGCCUCGUCAAAUACGGAAAGUAAAGCAUCACCCACUGCAACUGUCUCCAGUCAACCUAAAGGUGAGGUUGCUUCUUCACAUCCCAGUCUCCCAAGCCAGACCCCUUCAACCACUAUAACAACAGCUGCCAGCGCGGUGUCCACAUCCACAGUUUCAGCUGCCACUGUUAGCAACAGUCCGGUUAAAAAGCAACGGCCUUUAUUGCCAAAGGAAACCGUACCAUCUGUCCAACGUGCAGUCGUGUGGAAUCCCUCGACCAAGUUUCAGACCUCCUCACAGAAAUGGCAUUUGCAGAAGGUCCAAAGGCAGCAACAGCAGCAGCAAGUGCCGACGACUCAACAGCAACAGUCUCAGAACACAGGAACGCGAUACCAGACAAGAUUGGCUGUGAAAGCUGUGCAGCAGAAAGAGGCAACUCUGGCAACUUCCACUUCUUCCAUUACUUUGGUUACAAGUACGUCAUCUCUAUCAGCGGCAGGCAGCAGUUCAGCAGUCGUGAACACAGCCUCCAGUUCGGUGUACAACACAGAUCUACCCAUAGCUACUCCAUCUGCUGACGUUGCUGCUGAUCUUACAAAGUAUACAAAUAAGAUGAUGGAAGCAAUAAAAGGAACAAUGACUGAAAUCUACAAUGAUUUCUCCAGAAACAGCUCUGGAAACACAAUAGCAGAGAUUCGACGAAUGAAAAUUGAAAUAGAUAAACUGCAGUGGUUGCAUCAGCAGGAGCUUGCAGAAAUGAAGCAUAAUCUUGAGCUAACAAUGGCAGAGAUGCGCCAGAGUCUUGAGCAGGAAAAGGACCGCAUGGUUGCAGAGAUCAAGAAGCAGAUGGAGACGGAGAAGCAGCAGGCUGUUGAUGAAACUAAGAAGAAGCAAUGGUGUGCAAAUUGCAGAAAGGAGGCCAUCUUCUACUGUUGUUGGAACACCAGCUACUGCGACUACCCUUGCCAGCAGGCACACUGGCCAGAGCACAUGAAGUCUUGUACUCAGUCAGCCACUGCCACUCAACAGGAACCAGAAUCAGAAGUGAACUCCGAGGCAUUGAAUAAAAGUGCACAGCCAGCCCCAACUGUCCAGCAAUCGCCACCGGAGGCCAAAGCAGGCCAAAAUGACAAGGAUCCCAGUACAGAUAAGAAUAAGGAAAAUGUCACAUCAUUGCAGGUAGAAGCAGGUGUGACCAGCCAUCAGCCUAUUAAACUGGUCCAAGUCCAGGCACCGUCAGCCACCUAGAUGCUAACAGCUCAGCCCACAAUCAAUAUUUCCAGAGGAUUCAGUUUACCACCACAAAGUUGAAAUUCGCUUUCAGGUCAUGCCCGUUGUGGCGAAUUCACCGGUUGGAGUAACGACUGUGCAGCCUGCGGUCCAGUGCGCCCAGACCACGAUCCCUGUGCAAGCCCACAGAGCCUGAGAGCCCCAGAUUUAAUCUGAGGACAAUUGAAGAAAGCAGCAUAACGGAGCAAGACUUUGCAUGGGAAUUCAUCAGAACUGCCUUCGUUCUCCAACCUUGAACAGACACAUUGGUUAUCUGCUUUGUAUAUAAUUAUACAGAGCUUUUGUGACACUACAAAAUGCUAGCAUUAAAAAGAAUUUAUGCAAAGUCUACAGAAGACGACCACAUCUGGCAAUUUUUUCUUUUUUUUCCUAGAAUUUGUCAAUUCUUGAUACUCCAUCCCUGUUGGUAUUUUCCUGUAAUGUGACUUGAUGGAAGAUUGUAGGCUCUAGUUUCUGAAAAUGUAGUGAAUUGGGGAACAUAUACAGCAUGCGACAAAACUAAAAAGCCUUUAGUAGUUGGACCACGGCAUAUAAUAUUUAUAUGUAGGAGUCUGUGAAAUCCAGUGAUGUAAAAGCAUGAAAUGGGGGGUGGGCCAUGUCUUGGCAUUUCUAAUGAAGGAAUACAAAAUAGGGAGGUAUGUCUUGCUGCUCAAUGUUUCUCUUCUCCCCAUGUUCGCUCUUGUUUCCUCUUGGAGUGUCUGUUUUUUGAACAGGAGUUUGUGUAUAUGAGAUAAUCCUUGUGUUCAGAAUCGUUCCAGUGCUUUUCUGAUGUGUAUAUUUUUGUUUUUUUUAUUUUUCAUCCUGAUUUAUACAAGCAGUUUGUACAGUUUUCAACCAGUCCUGAUGAGUCAACGUUAAAAUAAAAAUUAGAAAAAAAAAUUGACACUAUAGUAAAUUUACCAUUGUUUUUGAGAACAUACUUGCUAGCCUAACUUGUGAAACAGGAUUGCUUUUAGCAUAUGGAAGUAUUUUUUCACAUUUCUUUGUACAAAGUUUAUAUUAAAAAUAGAUGAAAAAAUAA